ensembl:lncRNA
CUAGGGAAGGGAGGUGGACACACCCGACUAAACCCUACCCAUCACUCAGAGCAGGCAAGCUCAGAGCAGCUCCGGAGGAGGAGGAUGCGCCUCAGUCUCCACCAGCUGCUUUGCUGCACAGCUCUCCAAGCUCCUCGCUGCCCUGCCCUCCCUCCUGCUCAGCCCAUUUCCAGUCUGGUGGGCAUAGCAAUCCCGAUAAAUCUCAAGUCAGACCAGGUCAUUCCUGGGCUCAGAAGACUCAGAGGGCUCCCACUCAGCUCCAGCUCCCCAGAAGUCUCCAUGACACCGAUGAACUGGAUUGCUAGUAUGGAUUGCCAUAUGCUAAAUUCCACAUGCAUUGCUAAAAAAGAACUUCACGGUGCAUCAAAGCAUUGCCUCUAAGGAAAUCUCGUCAGAUGGGAGGAUUCCAGGCUGACAGCAGCACAAGCCAAAGACUUAAGAAACUCAGGUUGAGCUGAUGGAACAACUGAACAACAACAUUCUCGGGGCUUUCAGCUGCCUACUCUGCACUGUGCGACCCUAAGCCCAACUCAGCCUAGUCUUCAAAUAACACUUGAAUUAAUAAAAACUUUGUGAAGCCCAGCCUGCAAGAGGUUGUGAUUUAGAUGAAGAAUUCGUGGGAUAAAAUCGUGGACAGCUGUGUUGCCAAUGCAUUACGAGCAGGCUAUGUGGACAAGAGAUGUUCAUUUAGGGACAGUUCUGUUGUUGGACAUGAGAGAAUGACGCCAAUGGAUCCACAGGAAAUGGAGUCUCAAGAAAUUCAGGCCAGGAUGAGGGAUCUGUAGAGUUAUUAUGAUGUUCCAGAAGAUGACAUGACUGUAUUUAAAUACAUGUAGGUUUUUGUACAUGAAUAAAUGAAUAAAUGU